CCUCCAAUUAGAAACCAAUACGACUUCUGCCAAAAAGAAAGAAAAAUCUAUUCCCUUUCGACAGUAUCCGGCCUACAAAAUCGCUAACAAAAUCGCUACGGCCUGCGACAGUCGCCGCCCUACCACAGCUCCGGCGAUCUUCUUCCCAAAUCCCAGGUUUCAAGAUCGCUGCACAAAUCAUUAUUCCCUUCACUUUCUUAUCUUUAUCAGCAAAAUAUUCUACUUACCAGGUACCAAUUUGUGAUUUUUGAUAUCCAACUAUGGCGUUUUGGAAUUUGUGAAAGUAUAGUUUUUUUGUGAUUGCUAAAUUGUUUGUGAUAUCUGGCUGCUGUUAGAUUGAUAGUCGAUUGAUUGAAUUGAUUCCUCUUCUGUUCCUCUAUUAUUUUAUGAACUAGGGAAUUUGUCGCUCGCGUGGUUAUUAAUCACAUCAAUGUAUAUUUAAAAUUAAAUUUAGUUGAGAUAGAGUAGAUAAUUUUUUAACUAUAUAUGCAUAAGCAAGUUUGAGUAUCUCUGUUAGGUACACAAUGGUACUCUAAAAAAUGAACACAGAGCAAACUAAUCUAAGCUUAUUCUCCAUUGAACUACCCAUUAAAGACUCCAAAAAACUAUCAAUAAAGGCAAACAUGUGAUUUAUAAUUUGAAUAUAAAUAGAUAUAGUUGUUCAAAAAAUCUGUCAAUAAAGGCAAACAGGUAAGUCAUUUGUUUCAUUAGAUGGAAAAGUUCACCAUUGAUAGUGAACAUCCGCAAGGCUUACUUGUUUCAUUAGAUGGUAAAAAUUAUUAUUGAUUAUGCUCAUCUGCAAGGCCAUGUUACUUAUCAUGUAGGAAAGAUACAACUUAGUGAGUAAAUGAAAGAGUGAAAGAUAAAGAAUGAUUAAAGUAAAACGGAAGGAAAAUCUAAUGUUGUUCACUUUCUUCCUUACUCGUUGCUUUGGAGAUAACUUUGUCCUCUAUGAAUAAGCCUCUCUUGAUGGACAAUAAUCAUUUUAUUCAUUUUUACUAGGAAACUAAAUUCUUUUUUGGGGGCAGUUACUUCAGAACCCCAUUUCCAUGAAUAACUUGACCAAAAGUAUUUUAGCGCAUUGUAUUGAAGCCUCAAUCUCCUUUUACAAUAGCUGCUUCAAUCUAUGGAAGCUUCAUUUUGGAGGCUUUGUCAUGCCAAAAAAUAGAUGUUCGGUUCUCAUCAUCUAUAUGAAUGAUGUUGAAUGGAUCCACAAUGUAUAUGAACAUCUUCACUAUAGGUUCUACUUUUUCUAUUCUCUUUUUAAUGCAUCUCUUCAUUUUUUUAGAAGAAAAACAUGUUUUGCAUACUCAUUCCAGAGACAUUACCACUCGGUUAUAAUUUUAUACUUUUAAUAUAUAAACUAACUUAUAUUCCAUUUAGCUUUGGAACUAGAAACUAUUAGAUUGUACCUCAGUCUUAAUCCAGUUGGGGUUAGUUAUAUGAAUCAUCUAUAUUCACCCAGCUCAAUAUAGACAUGUUUUACUCAAAUAUUCAAUAAUACUGUGAAGCUAGAGAUUCUUUACAUCUUCCAAAUUAUAUUCCUGACCCAAAAAAAAAUGAUCUCGAUUAUAUUUUGGCCUCAACUAGUUGGUAUGUGCUACAUGCAUCAUUUACUUCCAUUUUGUUCUGUUCUUCACUAACUUUGCUUGGAUUUCGAGAGGUUAUAGAUCUUUUAAGACAAUUUUCUUUUUUGAUUUUAAGUCCACCUUCAAUCAUCAUUGUGUUGCACCUAUAGACCGGUGUAUUUGGAGGUCUAUGUAGCAUAGCUAAACAAUAUUAGGUGAACUUCUCGUAUUUUAUCCUCUAUGUCUGGUACUUGUACCUCCUGUCAAAAUUUUGAUUUCGAAUCUUGUCGUACAUCUGGUUAAUAUAUGCAUUUCUACAAAAACAUCUUUUGAAUAUAUUGGGACGUAGAGGCCCAACACUCACUCCAUUAUAAUAUUGUUGGUCUCAUAUUUAGAAUUUACCUUUGACUUUGAUAGGUAUAUUCUGAUGACAUAGCACUCCCUUAUGUGCCACAUUUUCAUCUAUCAUAUAAUUCUUCUUUAGGAACUUGAAGCCCGAAUAUAUGAAUUGUCUAUUGAAUCCAGCAAAGCAACAGUAGAUAAAUUAAAUUAGAUGAAUUGUUUGUAUUUACAUCACAGUUUUUGUUUAAUCUCAUCUCAAUGCUGAGCAUAUUAUCUAUUUAGGAGCAAGAGGAAGUUCUUGAAAACCUUGCUUUUCUUUUCCUUCCACUUCUUUCCACCUUUUUUUUAUCUUCUCCUGUUGAUAUGCUUUGUGUCUUGUUGAUUGAGGACCAACUCUACACAUCCUUUUUAGCCUUGUUAAAGGCUCGCUUGAGGUGUGUUCUGAAACUAGGAGCACAUCAAACCAUGUGUUUUGCUUCGCUUCAUGUGAUACUCUGAUGCAAGGACCAAGGUGAUGUGGCGUGCCCCACAUACCAGACUCUGCUUCUAAAGUGCUAUAUCAGAAAAUAUUUUAAUGAGUAUGUUAAUAAUUAAAGAUAGGAAACAAGAAAUUUAGUACGAUAAAACUAGCUAAAUUUCUUGACAUGAAAAGUCAAGCUAAAGAUAAAAUUAGAAACUUAAAAUUGCAUAUGUACAUUGAAUUGUAGAAUAUAAGAUGGUUUAUGUACUUAGAUUGACGUGAUUUUCACUUCAUAUAUUUCAAUUUAUUACAAAUUUUCUUUCCAUAUAUUGUUUUGUCCUUGUAGGUAUUUUUUUCUUUCACUAUGUGUGUGUGUAUAUACGUGUGUCUGUUUUUUUUUCAUUUGUGCCUUUCUUUGCUAAAUGCAUUAAUUGUGCUUUGCGCUUACAACCACUGCAUACCUUGAUUCUCCAUCUUAUUGCUAGUUUUUUUUUGCUUUGGUUGUCAGAUUGGUUCGCUUGUAAUUGCCCCUCCCCUUUCCCCUUUCUGAGCCGAGAGUCUACCAGAAACAACCUCUCUGCCUUUUUAAAGCCUCCCUGCCUCUCUACCCUUUCGUGGAGGGUCUACUGGAAACAACAUAUCUGACAUUAUUGUAUUAGGAUGUAAAUGGGAUAGAGCCUAUACGAGUACAAAUUUUUAUAUUAACUCAUACAAAACGUAAGGAUGGUAGACCACUGGAUGAUGAUUCUGCCAAGGCAAUGGUAAGAUUUCUUUUUUCACUUAAUUUCAAAAUUGUGAAAUAGUUAGGGAAAAUAACUUAAAAGCGAAGAAAUGAACUCCAAAUUGGAUUUAUUGUGUAUUCUAUGGUUAGGUAAUGAUAAUGUCACGACCCAAACUAACCUUGUCGUGAUGACACAUAUCGUGGAACUAGGCAAUCCGACUCAUUUCCCAAACAACUGAUAUUUUUUUAUUUCAAAUGUAAUUUCAAGUCUAUUUAACAUAAAAACCUUCGUAAAGGAGUUCAAAUCAAAACAAAAGUGCGGAAAAAGAAAUUUCCGACAUUGGGAUGCCACUAGUCAUUAGCAUCUACUAAAAUUUGUCUGACAAUAUCAA